UACGGAGGGAGCUAGCGUUGUUCGGAAUUACUGGGCGUAAAGCGCACGUAGGCGGCUUUGUAAGUUAGAGGUGAAAGCCCGGGGCUCAACCCCGGAAUUGCCUUUAAGACUGCAUCGCUUGAAUCCGGGAGAGGGAUGCGGAAUUCCAGGUGUAGCGGUGAAAUGCGUAGAUAUCUGGAGGAACACCGGUGGCGAAGGCGGCAUCCUGGACCGGCAUUGACGCUGAGGCGCGAAAGCCAGGGGAGCAAACGGG
rnacentral:rRNA from 1 species